rnacentral:rRNA from 1 species
UACGUAGGGGGCAAGCGUUGUUCGGAAUUACUGGGCGUAAAGGGCGCGUAGGCGGCCACCGCAAGUCGACUGUGAAAUCUCCGGGCUUAACCCGGAAAGGUCAGCCGAUACUGCGGGGCUAGAGUGCAGAAGGGGCAACUGGAAUUCUCGGUGUAGCGGUGAAAUGCGUAGAUAUCGAGAGGAACACCUGCGGCGAAGGCGGGUUGCUGGGCUGACACUGACGCUGAUGCGCGAAAGCUAGGGGAGCGAACGGG